rnacentral:rRNA from 1 species
AGUGAACGCUGGCGGUAGGCCUAACACAUGCAAGUCGAACGGCAGCACAGGAGAGCUUGCUCUCUGGGUGGCGAGUGGCGGACGGGUGAGGAAUACAUCGGAAUCUACUUUUUCGUGGGGGAUAACGUAGGGAAACUUACGCUAAUACCGCAUACGACCUACGGGUGAAAGCAGGGGAUCUUCGGACCUUGCGCGAUUGAAUGAGCCGAUGUCGGAUUAGCUAGUUGGCGGGGUAAAGGCCCACCAAGGCGACGAUCCGUAGCUGGUCUGAGAGGAUGAUCAGCCACACUGGAACUGAGACACGGCCCAGACUCCUACGGGAGGCAGCAGUGGGGAAUAUUGGACAAUGGGCGCAAGCCUGAUCCAGCCAUACCGCGUGGGCGAAGAAGGCCUUCGGGUUGUAAAGCCCUUUUGUUGGGAAAGAAAUCCAGCUGGCUAAUACCCGGUUGGGAUGACGGUACCCAAAGAAUAAGCACCGGCUAACUUCGUGCCAGCCGCCGCUGUAA